rnacentral:snRNA from 1 species
GUGCUCGCUUCAGCAGCACAUAUGCUAAAAUUGGAAUGAUUCAGAAAAGAUUAGCAUGGCCUCUGUGCUCGGAUGACAUGCAAAAUCAUGAAGUGUUUCANAUUUUU